rnacentral:sRNA from 23 species
AUGUAAGAUGGGAUAUUUAUGUCGUUUAAUUGAAAACAUGCGUGAUUUGAUUAUAUCAUCGCGUCUGUUUUUGUGCAAUACCAAAAGAACCUGGAUGUUAUUACCAGGUUCUUUUUUCU